AGUCAUGUCAUUCUCAAAGAUCCAGUGACAAACCUCUAUUUUCCCGGGUCCUGACCCGAGUGCAAUGAAGGCUCCGUGCCUCGGUCCCCAUGAAGAAGUAUCCACGUGGCAAAUCGCAACACCAUGGUUGAUCUUAGCCUUUGAAUUCGGGUCCAAAAUAUCCGCUUCGUAGACCCGGACUUUAGGAACCGAAUGACAGUAAUACAAUAAGGAAGGGUACAGCGUUUGAUGACAUGAUACUGAUUUGGUAACUUUUCCACCAUUGAUUCCUUUUAUUGAUCCAAUCAUGAUGUUCCCCUUUGAUCCAUUUGUAUUCUCAGUUGUUCGAACCACCACAUUACGACCCAACACUGAUGUUGCGAAAUCAAUCAUAUCUUCAGCUGAAUUAACACAUUGUUUCGUCUCCCCAGGGCUCGGUGCUCUUUCACACUCACUCAGCGCAUCGCCAAUCAUCUUUGCCACCUGUGAAUCAUUGGCCGCAUGGAAAAUUUUCUUCAGCUCAUCAAUCUUUGACGUAGAAAAAGGCAAUUUCGCAGCAAUCGCCCGGGGCAAAAAGGACCUUUUAGGCAUCUUAUCCUUUAUAUCUGGCAUAGGCAUGAUUGUACCACUCUUCAACAUCUUCUCACGGAAAAACUUCCCGGGCUCAAUCCACCUGUUAUUCACCUUUUUGCCACCGUUAACCUCACUCAACGAAGCUAAAUCCUGCGAAGUUUUGUUGUGGUAAUUGGAAAAUGUAGCUGUAUCUUUGACAUAAUCUUUGAAUGUGUUAUUAACUCCGUAAGUUUUGAAAUUGAUAUGUGGGUCAUUACCCCCUUUUCCGUAAGUAAUGAAUACAUCGGUACCUUCAUUGAACGAUUGACCAUAAUUGGUGAAAUUAGCUUCACCAGCAUUUGCAUCCUUAACAUAGUUACUAAACUUGUCAUCACCAACAUUCGAUUCAUCUCUGUAGUUAGUAAAAGUCUCAGAUGGACCAUUACCUCCAACGCCGUAGUUUUUGAAAUUGUUUUGAGGAUUAUUGCCAUUAGUACUAUAAGAUGUAAAAUUUUGAUUCUCCCCAUUUGCAUUUUGACCAUAGUUUUUAAAUGUUGAGGCUGCAACAUUAGUUUCGUUCCCAUAGCUGGUGAAUUUACUAUCAGCACCAUUUCCAUUUUUGCCAUAGCUUUUGAAAGACUGGCCACCAGAAUUCCCCUGUUCUAAAUAAGUUUUAAAUUCUUGUUCCCCGCCUGUUCCUUGAUCGGAAUAGGCAGUGAAACGUAGAUCAGGGACAUUGGUAUUCGGGGCGUAAUUAGUGAAUUGGCCAGAACCCCCUGGAGUAUUUGUGCUAUAGGAAUUGAAACUUUGGUCAAUUACAUUGCCAUCAGGGGCGUAAUUAUCAAAUUUAUUAUCACGGGGAGAACCUCUACCGUAACGUCUGAAAGAAUUUACAGAUGCAUCUUCAGAAUAGUUUUUGAAGGUGUUAACUCCGAUUCCAGGUUCGUUGGUACCAUAAUUGGUGAAGUUUUUGUUGCCGUAAGUAGUAAAAUGGAUAUCUCCAGUGUGUUUUUCGAGACUUGGUAACAGAUCAGGCGCGCACAUGAGAUUUGCUGAAGAGCAAAAGGAUUGGAGGUGUGUAGAGAGUGCAUUUUGAUCAGCAACAAGUUUAGUGUAAGUUGCAUAUUGUGCAGCAUUCAAUGGAGAUGCCUUGUUCAGAAGAAACCAUGGCUUUGGUAAGUCAUU
rnacentral:misc_RNA from 1 species